rnacentral:rRNA from 1 species
UACGGAGGAUCCAAGCGUUAUCCGGAUUUAUUGGGUUUAAAGGGUGCGUAGGCGGCCUGUUAAGUUAGAGGUGAAAUCCCGUGGCUCAACCACGGAACUGCCUCUGAUACUGGCAGGCUAGAGAGUAGAUGCGGUAGGCGGAAUGUGUAGUGUAGCGGUGAAAUGCUUAGAGAUUACACAGAACACCGAUUGCGAAGGCAGCUUACCAAUCUAUAUCUGACGUUGAGGCACGAAAGCGUGGGUAGCAAACAGG